AAAACGGUGUUAACUACCACGUCAUUAAAUCAAAGUCUGAUAAGUUUGAGGCGAAGUGUGCUGUGCAAGACGGCACAUGUUCAUGGAAAAUCUACGCCUCGUUAAGGAAAAUAACAGGGUUGUGGGAGAUAAAAAAGUACAGAGGUCCACAUACAUGUGCUGCAGGUACAGUAUUGACUGUAUCUGAAUAAUACUUUUAUUAUACAAUUAUUAAUUAUUUAGUGUACUCCCUUUGUAGGUGUUUCACAAGAUCAUCCGAAAAUGGAUUCAGC
rnacentral:lncRNA from 1 species